UCUGGCGAUGACGGCGACGGUGACUCUGACCCAACUACGACCACGACCACGACUGCACGAGUUCGGUUUCGCUUACUGGCGGACAGGACGGAUAGACAGACAGCCGAACGGAAAGAGUUUCCUCCGGCCAGACGAAAUUUGUCAAAGUCGAUUUCAAAGAAGUUUGUCAAAAGCGGAUGCAAGUGAAAUCGAUACCCGCGCUCCAUUGUCAGGGCCAGGGCCAGGGCCUCGACAAGAGUAAUACAAAUAAAAAUAAAUAUUAUAAUAGAAGGCACGGAGGAGAAGGUGGCGGCUGCCAGGGGAAGGUGUGAAAAGGUCGUCGUGCCGUUUCGAGCUGACAAUCUCCGAGAGAUCUGCGAUCCUCAAGGAGCACAAACUGAUGCCAGCUCGAGAUGUUGCUGAGCCUUCACAGAGCAAAACAUCCGCAGUUAUCGAGAGGGUGGAAGGCCAAGCCUACCUUUCUUCUUCUUCUUCUUCUUCUUGGGGAUCCCUGCCCCUGCAUUCGCUGCCCGAUCGGGUCUCGGUCUGGGUCUCGCUCAUCUAAUCUGUUUGGUGUUAAGUCCAGGAGAGCAUGUGUAAUUCGAUUUUUUACAUGCGAGUGGCUUCAAAACGCUUGGCAAAACGUCAGCAGAAGGAUGGAGGAUCUGCGUCGGUGGAAUGGGUAGGGACAGGGACAGGGACAGGGGAAUCGAAUAUAUUAAAUGGAAGUCAAACUGG
rnacentral:sRNA from 1 species